rnacentral:rRNA from 1 species
CCAGACUCCUACGGGAGGCAGCAGUGAGGAAUAUUGGUCAAUGGGCGGGAGCCUGAACCAGCCAAGCCGCGUGAAGGAAGAAGGCGCCAGGCGUCGUAAACUUCUUUUGUCGGGGAACAAAGGGCGCCACGCGUGGCGUUGUGAGUGUACCCGAAGAAAAAGCAUCGGCUAACUCCGUGCCAGCAGCCGCGGUAAUACGGGGGGUGCAAGCGUUGUCCGGAAUCAUUGGGCGUAAAGAGUUCGUAGGCGGCACGUAAAGUCUGGUGUUAAAGGCAGAGGCUCAACUUCUGUACGGCACUGGAUACUUGCGAGCUAGAAUGCGGUAGAGGUAAAGGGAAUUCCUGGUGUAGCGGUGAAAUGCUUAGAUAUCAGGAGGAACAUCGGUGGCGUAAGCGCUUUACUGGGCCGUAAUUGACGCUGAGGAACGAAAGCCAGGGUAGCAGAUGGGAUUAGAUACCCGCGUAAG